AGGCCUACGGGAGGCUGCAGUGGGGAAUUUUGGACAAUGGGGGCAACCCUGAUCCAGCCAUGCCGCGUGAGUGAAGAAGGCCUUCGGGUUGUAAAGCUCUUUCGGCCGGGAAGAAAUCGCAUCAGCUAAUACCUGGUGUGGAUGACGGUACCGGAAUAAGAAGCACCGGCUAACUACGUGCCAGCAGCCGCGGUAAUACGUAGGGUGCGAGCGUUAAUCGGAAUUACUGGGCGUAAAGCGUGCGCAGGCGGUUUUUUAAGAUAGGCGUGAAAUCCCCGGGCUUAACCUGGGAACUGCGCUUAUGACUGGAAGACUAGAGUACGGCAGAGGGGGGUGGAAUUCCACGUGUAGCAGUGAAAUGCGUAGAGAUGUGGAGGAACACCGAUGGCGAAGGCAGCCCCCUGGGCCGAUACUGACGCUCAUGCACGAAAGCGUGGGGAGCAAACAGGAUUAGAUACCCUGGUAGUCA
rnacentral:rRNA from 1 species